rnacentral:rRNA from 1 species
GGGGUCGGACAAGCGCCGCUCCGUUUGACUUGAUGACUCUGAAUAACCAGUCGGAUCGCACGGUCUCAGUGCCGGCGACCCAUCUUUCAAAUGCCUGACUUAUCAACUGUCGAUGGUAGAUUCUACGUCUACCAUGGUUGUAACGGGUGACGGGGAAUCAGGGUUCGAUUCCGGAGAGGGAGCCUGAGAAACUGCUACCACAUCCAAGGAAGGCAGCAGGCACGCAAAUUACCCACUCCCGGCACGGGGAGGUAGUGACAAAAAAUAACGAUACGGGACUCAUCCGAGGCCCCGUAAUCGGAAUGAGAACACUCUAAAUCAUUUAACAAGGACCUAUUGGAGGGCAAGUCUGGUGCCAGCAGCCGCGGUAAUUCCAGCUCCAAUAGCGUAUAUUAAAGUUGUUGCGGUUAAAAAGCUCGUAGUUGGUUCUGCGUCCCACGCUGUCGGUUCACCGCCUGUCGGUGCAACUGGCACGCCGUGGGAUGUCCUGUCGGUGGCGGCCGCGGCCCGGCGGUCGAGGGGUAGGAUCCGAAUGGGUCCGAACCCUCUCCCCGGGAUCCGCGGUCGCCUAACUAAUCCCGCCGCGGUGCUCUUAACUGAGUGUCGAGGUGGGCCGACACGUUUACUUUGAACAAAUUAGAGUGCUCAAAGCAGGCUGAAUUCCGCCUGAAUAGUGGU